AUUAUACAUCAUUUAAAAUGUAAAAUAUUGAUGCUAUCAAUUUGUGUAUGACUUAGUCAUAUUAUACCCAUUUAUUUUCAAUUUAAAAAUAUUAUAAAAUUAGGAAGUUAAAAUUUUGACGUUUGUUGAUACACUAAAUACUAAUUUAUUCUCCUAUUCUUAGUUAUUAUUCAGUUAAACUUUCUAAGUUUUUAAAUGCUGUAAGGUAUAUUAAUUUAUGAUGUCCAAGAUACAUAACCAAUCUUAAUUUAAUUGUAUUAAUUUGGUUUUCAUGAGUAAUAUAGCUAAAGCAAUUUUGAACAAAAUGAGUACACAUAAUAGUUAAAAACAAUAUGAGGAUAAGACCCUAUAGUGGUGAAGAAAGUGGGACUACAUGUAGAAUUUAAUUUUUUUUAUAUAAACUAGUCCGGGCUAGUAAUAGUACAAAAUAUAUAAUAAAAAUACUAUAAAUAAUUAUGUACAAUAAAUUAUUAUAGUACAAUUUAUGUUUGCUGGUCGCUAAAAUAAUCUUUAAAACUGAAAACCUGAUUUGAUUUUAAUUACAUGUACUUCUAAUUUAAAACUAUGGAUUUUUAUUUCUUUAAAUCCAUUUAUAUUACUAUCUAAUAGAAGUUUAGUAUACAUAAAUAACUGGGCACCCCACCUAGUUAACAAUAAAAUUACAUUUAUUAUUUAAGUAAAUUGUAUGUUUUAAUUUAUUAUAAUAAUUGUUUUAUUUUAGUUAUGAUUGUGAGGCGAUACGGUAAUUAACGAAUUCUGAAAAUUUGUAUUAUUUCUCAAAUAUUAACAUAUUAAUAUUAUGUAAUAUAGUAGUACAUUUUACAGUUACUCGAAAAAUAAGAUAACAACACUUAAAACUUUUACUACUUUAAAAAGUAAAUAUGUAUAAGAUUUUUUUAAAAUUUAAUUUAUUUAACUUUUGAAAUCUUAUUUAUACCUGAGGAAUUGCUGUACUAUACUCUUUUCCAAAUAAGAAUGCACCGGAUGACAGACGAAAACCAAUCAAAACUCAUGCACGCCCCAUUAUAAUUAAUAUUUUUAUAGUAGGGGUGUUUGUUUCCACCUCUGAUAAUAUGCGAUGUGGUGCGUUAUUAUUUUAAAAAGAGUAUAAUAACUAAAAGUACUAUUUAUUAUAUAUUAUACAUUUGUAUAUGAGCACUGUUGGCUACUCAUAAUGUAUUGGAAAGGUUAUUUUUUAUUUUCCUCGUAGCUUUUGAUAACUGCUUUAGAAUAUCUACUUAUUAAAAUCGACUAAUUCAGUUUUUGCUCGAU